rnacentral:rRNA from 1 species
GAUGAACGCUGGCGGCGUGCCUAAUACAUGCAAGUCGAGCGAAUGGAUUAAGAGCUUGCUCUUAUGAAGUUAGCGGCGGACGGGUGAGUAACACGUGGGUAACCUGCCCAUAAGACUGGGAUAACUCCGGGGAACCGGGGCUAAUACCGGAUAACAUUUUGAACCGCAUGGUUCGAAAUUGAAAGGCGGCUUCGGCUGUCACUUAUGGAUGGACCCGCGUCGCAUUAGCUAGUUGGUGAGGUAACGGCUCACCAAGGCAACGAUGCGUAGCCCACCUGAGAGGGUGAUCGGCCACACUGGGACUGGGACACGGCCCAGACGCCUACGGGAGGCAGCAGUAGGGAAUCUUCCGCAAUGGACGAAAGUCUGACGGAGCAACGCCGCGUGAGUGAUGAAGGCUUUCGGGUCGUAAAACUCUGUUGUUAGGGAAGAACAAGUGCUAGUUGAAUAAGCUGGCACCUUGACGGUACCUAACCAGAAAGCCACGGCUAACUACGUGCCAGCCGCCGCAGUAA